rnacentral:rRNA from 1 species
CGUCUAUAUACGUAUAGCAUAUCAAUAAGCGGAGGAAAAGAAACUAACUAGGAUUCCCUCAGUAACGGCGAGUGAAGCGGGAAGAGCUCAAAUUUGAAAUCUUCAAGGUUUCUACCUUGACGAAUUGUAGUUUAAAGAAGUGUUUUCUGUUGGAAGUUUUGGUAAAAGUUCUUUGGAAUAGGACAUCAUAGAGGGUGAGAAUCCCGUAUUUGACCAGUUCUUUUCCAGCUGUGUGAUACACUUUCAAAGAGUCGGAUUGUUUGGGAAUGCAGUCCAAAAUGGGUGGUAAAUUUCAUCUAAAGCUAAAUAUUGGCGAGAGACCGAUAGCGAACAAGUACCGUGAGGGAAAGAUGAAAAGAACUUUGAAAAGAGAGUUAAACAGUACGUGAAAUUGUCAAAAGGGAAGCGUUUGACACCAGUGUUGUUUUUCUCGAAAAUCAAUUAAAAAUGGCUGGGAUUUUGUGUUGUAUUGACUUUAUCAGCUUUCUGCACUUUUUUUCCUAUCUUUUUUUAAUGCACUUUUCGUUUAACAAGUCAACAUCAAUUUCUUUUGUUGUAAAAGAGGUCAUUGGAAGGUGGCUUUCUUUUCGGAGAAAGUGUUUAUAGCCUUUGACUUCUGCAAUCGGAGAGAUUGAGGUCUGCAGCGUAGAUCCUUCGGGGUUAGAUGACAUUUGUGCUAAGUUAUAGCUUUUUCAUAGACAACAUUGUUGACUAUGAUUAAGUCAUGUAGCUUACUCGCUUAUGCUAUUUUACCUACGCUUAGGAUGUUGACGAUCAGCUGAGCGCG